rnacentral:tRNA from 1 species
GUCAGGAUGGCCGAGUGGUCUAAGGCGCCAGACUCAAGUUCUGGUCUCCAUAUGGAGGCGUGGGUUCAAAUCCCACUUCUGACA